rnacentral:rRNA from 1 species
CAGUACCGUGAGGGAAAGGCGAAAAGAACCCCGGCGAGGGGAGUGAAAAAGAACCUGAAACCGUGUACGUACAAGCAGUGGGAGCACAGGUUUACCUGUGUGACUGCGUACCUUUUGUAUAAUGGGUCAGCGACUUAUAUUCUGUAGCAAGGUUAACCGUAUAGGGGAGCCGCAGGGAAACCGAGUCUUAACCGGGCGUUAAGUUGCAGGGUAUAGACCCGAAACCCGGUGAUCUAGCCAUGGGCAGGUUGAAGGUUGGGUAACACUAACUGGAGGACCGAACCGACUAAUGUUGAAAAAUUAGCGGAUGACCUGUGGCUGGGGGUGAAAGGCCAAUCAAACCGGGAGAUAGCUGGUUCUCCCCGAAAGCUAUUUAGGUAGCGCCUCGUGAAUUCAUCUCCGGGGGUAGAGCACUGUUUCGGCUAGGGGGCCAUCCCGGCUUACCAACCCGAUGCAAACUGCGAAUACCGGAGAAUGUUAUCACGGGAGACACACGGCGGGUGCUAACGUCCGUCGUGAAGAGGGAAACAACCCAGACCGCCAGCUAAGGUCCCAAAGUCAUGGUUAAGUGGGAAACGAUGUGGGAAGGCCCAGACAGCCAGGAUGUUGGCUUAGAAGCAGCCAUCAUUUAAAGAAAGCGUAAUAGCUCACUGGUCGAGUCGGCCUGCGCGGAAGAUGUAACGGGGCUAAACCAUGCACCGAAGCUGCGGCAGCGACGCUUAUGCGUUGUUGGGUAGGGGAGCGUUCUGUAAGCCUGUGAAGGUGGCCUGUGAGGGUUGCUGGAGGUAUCAGAAGUGCGAAUGCUGACAUAAGUAACGAUAAAGCGGGUGAAAAGCCCGCUCGCCGGAAGACCAAGGGUUCCUGUCCAACGUUAAUCGGGGCAGGGUGAGUCGACCCCUAAGGCGAGGCCGAAAGGCGUAGUCGAUGGGAAACGGGUUAAUAUUCCCGUACUUGGUGUUACUGCGAAGGGGGGACGGAGAAGGCUAUGUUGGCCGGGCGACGGUUGUCCCGGUUUAAGCGUGUAGGUGUGUGUUCCAGGUAAAUCCGGUUCACUUUAACACUGAGGCGUGAUGACGAGGCACUACGGUGCUGAAGCAACAAAUGCCCUGCUUCCAGGAAAAGCCUCUAAGCAUCAGGUAACAUCAAAUCGUACCCCAAACCGACACAGGUGGUCAGGUAGAGAAUACCAAGGCGCUUGAGAGAACUCGGGUGAAGGAACUAGGCAAAAUGGUGCCGUAACUUCGGGAGAAGGCACGCUGACACGUAGGUGAAGUGAUUUACUCACGGAGCUGAAGUCAGUCGAAGAUACCAGCUGGCUGCAACUGUUUAUUAAAAACACAGCACUGUGCAAACACGAAAGUGGACGUAUACGGUGUGACGCCUGCCCGGUGCCGGAAGGUUAAUUGAUGGGGUCAGCGCAAGCGAAGCUCCUGAUCGAAGCCCCGGUAAACGGCGGCCGUAACUAUAACGGUCCUAAGGUAGCGAAAUUCCUUGUCGGGUAAGUUCCGACCUGCACGAAUGGCGUAAUGAUGGCCAGGCUGUCUCCACCCGAGACUCAGUGAAAUUGAACUCGCUGUGAAGAUGCAGUGUACCCGCGGCAAGACGGAAAGACCCCGUGAACCUUUACUAUAGCUUGACACUGAACAUUGAGCCUUGAUGUGUAGGAUAGGUGGGAGGCUUUGAAGUGUGGACGCCAGUCUGCAUGGAGCCGACCUUGAAAUACCACCCUUUAAUGUUUGAUGUUCUAACGUGGACCCGUUACCCGGGUUGCGGACAGUGUCUGGUGGGUAGUUUGACUGGGGCGGUCUCCUCCUAAAGAGUAACGGAGGAGCACGAAGGUUGGCUAAUCCUGGUCGGACAUCAGGAGGUUAGUGCAAUGGCAUAAGCCAGCUUGACUGCGAGCGUGACGGCGCGAGCAGGUGCGAAAGCAGGUCAUAGUGAUCCGGUGGUUCUGAAUGGAAGGGCCAUCGCUCAACGGAUAAAAGGUACUCCGGGGAUAACAGGCUGAUACCGCCCAAGAGUUCAUAUCGACGGCGGUGUUUGGCACCUCGAUGUCGGCUCAUCACAUCCUGGGGCUGAAGUAGGUCCCAAGGGUAUGGCUGUUCGCCAUUUAAAGUGGUACGCGAGCUGGGUUUAGAACGUCGUGAGACAGUUCGGUCCCUAUCUGCCGUGGGCGCUGGAGAACUGAGGGGGGCUGCUCCUAGUACGAGAGGACCGGAGUGGACGCAUCACUGGUGUUCGGGUUGUCAUGCCAAUGGCACUGCCCGGUAGCUAAAUGCGGAAGAGAUAAGUGCUGAAAGCAUCUAAGCACGAAACUUGCCCCGAGAUGAGUUCUCCCUGAGACUUUAGGUCUCCUGAAGGAACGUUGAAGACGACGACGUUGAUAGGCCGGGUGUGUAAGCGCAGCGAUGCGUUGAGCUAACCGGUACUAAUGAACCGUGAGGCUUAACCUUACAACGC